CCAAUAGCGUAUAUUAAAGUUGUUGCAGUUAAAAAGCUCGUAGUUGAACUUCGGGGUUUACCCAUUGGUCAGGCUUAAUUGUCUGUACUGGUGAGAUAAAUCUCUACCUUCUGAGGAACUUUCAUGUCAUUAAUUUGGUGUGAUUGGAAAUCAGGACUGUUACUUUGAAAAAAUUAGAGUGUUUAAAGCAGGCUAACGUCUGAAUACAUUAGCAUGGAAUAAUGAAAUAGGACGGACUGAUUCUAUUUCGUUGGUUUCUAGGAUCACCGUAAUGAUUAAUAGGGAUAGUUGGGGGCAUUAGUAUUCAAUUGUCAGAGGUGAAAUUCUUGGAUUUAUUGAAGACUAACUACUGCGAAAGCAUUUGCCAAGGAUGUUUUCAUUAAUCAAGAACGAAAGUUAGGGGAUCGAAGACGAUCAGAUACCGUCGUAGUCUUAACCACAAACUAUGCCGACUAGGGAUCGGACGAAGUUAAUUUUAUAAUGACGCGUUCGGCGCCUUACG
rnacentral:misc_RNA from 1 species